ACUGGAAACGAUCGCUAAUACCCGAUGUGCCGAGAGGUGAAAUAUUUAUAGCCUGAAGAUGAGCUCGCGUCUGAUUAGCUAGUUGGUGAGGUAAUGGCUCACCAAGGCGACGAUCAGUAGCUGGUCUGAGAGGAUGAUCAGCCACACUGGGACUGAGACACGGCCCAGACUCCUACGGGAGGCAGCAGUGGGGAAUUUUCCGCAAUGGGCGCAAGCCUGACGGAGCAAUACCGCGUGAGGGAGGAAGGCUCUUGGGUUGUAAACCUCUUUUAUCAGGGAAUAAGACAGUGACGGUACCUGAUGAAUCAGCAUCGGCUAACUCCGUGCCAGCAGCCGCGGUAAUACGGAGGAUGCAAGCGUUAUCCGGAAUUAUUGGGCGUAAAGCGUCCGCAGGUGGUUUUGGUAGUCUGUUGUCAAAGCGCGGAGCUUAACUUCCUAAGGGCAAUGGAAACUCCCAGACUAGAGUUUGGUAGGGGUCACGGGAAUUCCCAGUGUACGGUGAAAUGCGUAGAGAUUGGGAAGAACACCAGCGGCGAAAGCGCGUUACUGGGCCUGACACUGACACUCAUGGACGAAAGCUAGGGGAGCGAAAGGGAUUAGAUACCCCCUGUUAGUCAGCGUUACUCACCCGUCCGAG
rnacentral:rRNA from 1 species